CGUAACAAUGGGCCGAUUAUUCCAUUUCAACAAGUGAAUGCUCGAACAGCGGCUUUGACAGGUGUUUCUGAAAGAACCGUGAACCGUAUAGUUUCAGAGGGAAAAAUCAUGGAAAGUAAUUUUACAGCGAGAACUGAAGUCCCUAAUCAAGCAGCUCAAGGACCUUCCACAUCCAUAGCUUGUGAUGACAAUUCCACACCAGAGAACACUACUUCCGAGGCUAAGACGAUAAAACUAGUCACU